UUCGAAUGUACUCUUCAUCCCCACCACCAUUAGACAAUGGAGCAGAGGAUGAUGAUGAUGAUGAAUUUGGGGAAUUUGACAGCUUUAUUAAACCGCCUGGAGCGAAUUUUCGAAGCAUGUUUUCCUUCCAUACUUGUCCCUGAUGCUGAAGAGGAAGUUACUUCCCUGAAGCACUUGCUGGAAACAAGCACUUUGCCAAUAAAAACGAGAGAGGCCUUACCUGAAAGUGGGGAAUUGCUAGAUGUGUGGACUG
rnacentral:lncRNA from 1 species